GAUGAACGCUGGCGGCGUGCCUAAUACAUGCAAGUCGAGCGAACAGACGAGGAGCUUGCUCCUCUGACGUUAGCGGCGGACGGGUGAGUAACACGUGGAUAACCUACCUAUAAGACUGGGAUAACUUCGGGAAACCGGAGCUAAUACCGGAUAAUAUAUUGAACCGCAUGGUUCAAUAGUGAAAGACGGUUUUGCUGUCACUUAUAGAUGGAUCCGCGCCGCAUUAGCUAGUUGGUAAGGUAACAGCUUACCAAGGCAACGAUGCGUAGCCGACCCGAGAGGGUGAUCGGCCACACUGGAACUGAGACACGGUCCAGACUCCUACGGGAGGCAGCAGUAGGGAAUCUUCCGCAAUGGGCGAAAGCCUGACGGAGCAACGCCGCGUGAGUGAUGAAGGUCUUCGGAUCGUAAAACUCUGUUAUUAGGGAAGAACAAAUGUGUAAGUAACUAUGCACGUCUUGACGGUACCUAAUCAGAAAGCCACGGCUAACUACGUG
rnacentral:rRNA from 1 species